AAAGUCAAACAGUCACACCAGGUAUGUGAUUGUGUUUGUGGAUAAGUGUCACAGCAAGAACAAAAAGUGUUUUGGCUCUGGAAGGGAAAGUCACUGUAUGUGAAGGAGGUACAGUGGCAGAUGUCCCUGAAAUAAUACUGUGUCUAUUUGUUGAGUUUAGUAUGAGAUAAGACACUGGACUCAACCUGUUCUGCUGGAGACUCAGGGUAAAGGUUAUAUUACCAAAGAAACAACUUAACAGUUAUGUUACAUGAGCUUCAUGAAAAUUUGGCUUCGUUUAAGCAGAUAACAAAGUCUCAGACAUCAGCCCAAGGAUCGGUACGUGAUGUCACCGUCACACAUUGAAGCGCAUCUGCUGGCUGCACAUACAUGUCCGUGUGUGGCGGUGGCGAGAUCAUGCUUUUAUUGUUGCCUGAACCAGAAGAAACUAUCUAUCCAUCCAGCCAUCGUCAACCGCUUAUCCUGCGUACAGGGUUGCGGGGAACAAGAGGAAACCCCUGAGAAAAUAUUUUCCUCUCUGUGUAAACUAA